AGCUUCUGCCUCUCUGGCCCCCUGGAUGGACACAGACGCUCCCAUCUGCCUUACCACACAGGGAGCCGGGCGCCAGAAACUGGGUCUCACGAAUACCUCGCAAGGGUUCUGAGGCUCUGGCUGCUUUGGAAGAUAUGCAUGAUUACUUGCGGAGUAGUGUGAUGUCUGUGUCUACUUCUCAAAUUGUAUCACUAGGUACAUGGCCUCAGAAAACCAGGUGAAUUAUCUUCCAGAAUAUGGGGGGUUGGGGGUAGGGAUGAGGGAUGGGGUUGUUUUGGGCUUUUGUUUCCUCUGCAGUACUUGUUUUGGCCAUAAGGGGUCAUAAAGUACUUUCUUCUCAGCUUUUAAGUCUCUUCUGGGCUAUCCCUUGGGUAACUGAUUGGAUUUGACUAAACAUUUUCCGGAUCACUAAGUUGAGCAGAGAUGGAGUCCUGUGUCUGAGGUCCAUGUAGCUCGUCAGGCAGUGUUACCAAGAAGCCUUUGUUAAUAUUGGUGAGACUGAAAGCUGGCCCUUAUAAAGGCUCCAUUGUUUACUAAAUGCAGAGCUAAAAGGUGACCUCCUCCCGUUCAACCCUCCAAAUCCCAUUGCAUCUCAGCCUGCCCUGUGUGUGGCAUCUGUGACAGCAGUGGGGACCUUUGGCGUAUGUGUGAACAUACGCUCUUUCACUUUGUCUGCUCCAAGUGGCUAUCUGACAUCAAGAGCAGAUCUUCCACCAGGGUGAGUGGGGAGGUCUCCCAGAGCAGGCAGGUGCCCGCCAGGCCUGGCCCUCUGCACCCGUUGCUUAUCUUUGGUCUCCUGGUCCUCUUCAGCUCUCUGGGAAGUUCAAUUGUGCCCAUUGCAGUGUCUCCAGAGGAACAGUUGGAUAUCCACUCAGGAAAGCACCAGCCUGAGAGUAUUUACCUUGUAGAGUCAGGAAGCAUUUACCUGUGGAAGGGUCUCUCCACUGACUUCUUCCUGGUCCCUCUUCCCCCAGCAAGAGCCUGAGCAAUGCCAGACACAGAGUGGGGGCUCCUUGUAAUUCCAGCCCAGGCAGAAGUGGAAGGGAAGCUGUGACCAGGUUGGGCAGUAGGUGGCUAGGUGUUGUCCCCACAGUUCUGCGGUCACUUGCACUUUCUCAUUUCUUAAAGGAAGUCCAGUUUUCUUGCCAGGAAUCCUUAGCCUUAGGUUUACAAAGCUGUUGAAUGUUCGUCCAGAGGAGUAUAAGAAGAUCUAAGACUGCGUCUAGUCUAGGACGGGAAAGUCUCUCCCUUACCUCUGUAGAGGGUGUUGAAGGUCAAGUUGGGACUCGGUGAGGGAAGGCACCUGUCAUGCUGUAAAGAAAAUUAGAGGGCCUUCCUUCAGUUGGGGUAGGGUGAGUGAUAGGCAGGGAAGAGUCUACUAGGAGGGGAAGGAGGGAGAGGGUUGCUUGGCCCAGGGAGCUAGCUGCAUGAUGGAGCCAGGAGGGCUCUGGGCUGGUCCAGGAUGCCGGGCUCCCCUUAGUCAUCUUUCUUCCAAGCAUCCUGUCAGAUGCCCGCUGUGACGGUCUUCUUCCCUGUGUUAACUAUACCAAUAUUAUUUUUUUAGCAAUGGAAAUGCACUUUUUUUUAUUUCAACUCAAUCAUGAUUUUAAGUAUAAAAAUUUAUAGAUUGUUAAAACUACUUUUUUGUGUAUUUUUAACCACUCAAUGUAGCAUUGUAUAUUUUAUUCUUAUUAAGACUCUGGUACAAGGUGUGCCAUUUAAUGAUUCUUUUUUUUCCAACAUGCUGGGCCUUUGGAUGUGUACGGUAACCAACUUCAUGCUAAUGUUCAAAGUAAAAAAAGAAAAGUAGCCAU
rnacentral:lncRNA from 1 species